GGUAUAUCGAGGGAACCGCCUGAACUGAAACAUCUAAGUAGGGCGAGGAAGAGACAUCAAACGAGAUUCCGUAAGUAGUGGCGAGCGAACGCGGAAGAGGGCAAACCGAGAGUAGAAAUACUUUCGGGGUACGGACUGCUUUUAGGACUUAAUCUGUUAACCGAACGGCAUGGGAAGGCCGGUCAGAGAGUGUGAGAACCACGUAGGUGAAAACGGAGAGAGCUGCGCAGGAUCCAGAGUACGGCCAGACACGUGAAACCUGGUCGGAAUACGGGGGGACCACCCUCCAACCCUAAAUACUACCCAGUGACCGAUAGCGUAUAGUACUGUGAAGGAAAGGUGAAAAGCACCCCGGGAGGGGAGUGAAAAAGAACCUGAAACCCUGUGCCUACAAGCACCUAGAGCACGUCAAUGUGUGAUAGGGUACUUUUUGUAGAACGGUCCGGCGAGCGAUUGUAUGCAGCAAGGUUAAGGACUUAAGGUCUGGAGCCGAAGCGAAAGCGAGUUUGAAAAGGGCGUUAAGUUGCAUAUAAUGGGCCCGAAACCGGGUGACCUACCCAUGGUCAGGUUGAAGUGGAAGUAAAAUUCCAUGGAGGACCGAACCGACCUCCGUUGAAAAGGCGGCGGAUGAACUGUGGGUAGCGGAGAAAUUCCAAUCGAACCCGGAGAUAGCUGGUUCUCCCCGAAAUAGUUUUAGGACUAGCCUCAAGUUAGAUACCUGGAGGUAAAGCACUGAAUAGCCUAGCGGCCGAGAGGUUAGCGAAGCUUAUCAAACUCAGAAUGCCAGAGUAUUGAUGCUUGGGAGUCAGACAGUGUCAGAUAAAUGUCAUUGUCAAAAGGGAAACAGCCCAGAUCUACAGCUAAGGUCCCAAAGUCAGGUUAAGUGGAAAACGAUGUGAAGAUACGUAGACAACCAGGAUGUUGGCUCAGAAGCAGCCACUCAUUCAAAGAGUGCGUAAUAGCUCACUGGUCGAGCGUCUUUGCGCGGAGAAUUUAACGGGGCUAAACCUGACACCGAAGCUUAGGCAAUACAGCAAUGUAUUGGGUAGGGGAGCGUUGUAUACGCGGUGAAACAGUAGCGCAAGCGGCUGUGGAGUGUAUAGAAGUGAGAAUGCCGGAAUGAGUAGCGCGAAUGCAGUGAGAAUCUGCAUGGCCGAAAGCCUCAGGUUUCUGGAGGAAGGUUCGUCCGCUCCAGGUUAGUCGGGAGCUAAGGUGAGGCCUAACGGCGUAGCCGAUGCACAGACGGUAGAGAUUCCGUCACCACCAAAAGAGUUAAACACAGGGACACAUUUGAAGUCUCGGAGCCGGGUGUUGGUUCCGGUAGCGAUCGAGGGAAAUUAGUACCGAAGUCCGGGAUGGAAGAUGGCGAGAAAAGCUGUGUGUAUUUCUGCGGUGCCCGUACCGCAAACCGACACAGGUAGGUAGGAAGAAGAUUCUAAGGCCAACGGGAGAAGGGUUGUUAAGGAACUCGGCAAAUUGACCCCGUAACUUCGGGAGAAGGGGUGCUCCAGAGAUGGAGCCGCAGAGAAUCGGCCCAAGCAACUGUUUACCAAAAACACAGGUUUGUGCUAAAUCGAAAGAUGACGUAUACGAGCUGACGCCUGCCCGGUGCUGGAAGGUUAAGAGGAGAUGUGCAAGCAUUGAAUCGAAGCCCCAGUGAACGGCGGCCGUAACUAUAACGGUCCUAAGGUAGCGAAAUUCCUUGUCAGGUAAGUUCUGACCCGCAUGAAAGGCGUAAUGAUUUGGGCACUGUCUCAACAGCCCGCCCGGCGAAAUUGUAGUACCGGUGAAGAUGCCGGUUACCCGCGACAAGACGGAAAGACCCCAUGGAGCUUUACUGUAGCCUAAUAUUGGGUUUCGAUGUUGCAUGCACAGGAUAGAUGGGACACAGGGAAACAAGUGCUUUGGCAUUUGUGGAGUGGCCGUUGGGAUACCAUCCUUGCGAUAUUGGAAUUCUAACCUGCGCCUUUGAAUCAAGGCGGGGGACAUUGUUAGGUGGGCAGUUUGACUGGGGCGGUCGCCUCCUAAAGAGUAACGGAGGCGUUCAAAGGUUCGCUCAGCUUGAACGGAAAUCAAGCAAAAGAGUGCAAACGCAGAAGCGAGCCUAACUGCGAGACUGACGGGUCGAGCAGUAACGAAAGUUGGAGUUAGUGAUCCGGUGGUAUGUGAGUGGAAAUGCCAUCGCUCAACGGAUAAAAGUUACCCUGGGGAUAACAGGCUGAUCUCCCCCAAGAGUCCACAUCGACGGGGAGGUUUGGCACCUCGAUGUCGGCUC
rnacentral:rRNA from 1 species